AUUUGGGCUGUUUCCUGUGGAAAGCUGGCGCCAAGAGAUUUGAAAUUGUUUGAAGCAGGGGAGAGGCCUAAUCUGAUUUGUGUGUUGGAAAGGUAUUUCUGGUAACAGUGCGGAGGCUGGAUGAGUCACUUGGAGAAAAGAAGACCACAUUCCAGAGGGUUCCAUGAUGUGGACACUUUCAGCAGGUGGUGAGGGCUAGCGAUAUGUGGCGUGGUACCCUCUCUUGAUGCUGGGCAGUGGCGGUGAGCACAGCUCCCAGUUAGCCAUGCGAUCAUCAGGAUAUGUGUGACUCAGGACACCAUGUUGUCAGAUCUUCACCAUCCUAAGCACAAUGUAACAACCCAUAAUGGCUAAGUAGUGUCCCGGUAACAUGGAGGAAUGAAAAAGUUGUGUAAAUGGCAUCAAGAUUGUCUUAAGAUUAUCAAGCUAAUAGAAGCAAUAAACAUCACCAGUUGUUUUAGGAUUUAUUCUUCAAGGGAGGGUUUGCACUUAAAGGGACAUUAUCUCUUCCAACUAAUACCAAUGAACAAGAGUAAUGAAACAAAGAGGCAUAAUUUCUACCACCAGAAAACUCUUACAUAUGUAGUUUUUAAAAUGUACACUAUGCAGUAAAAGAUACGAAAUCCAAUAUUAGACUAGGUAUGUAAAAUCAGAAAUAUUUUUCUCCAGAGACCCAGAGAACUUGAGGUAGUCAUUGUCCUCAAAGCCCUUUGCACAUCAAGAUAUGCAAGGUCCAACUGCUUCACUUGGAAUUCAAGUCUUCCAAAAUAUAGUCCCAGCUUUAUGUGCUACUAAAGAUCUGCAUUCAACCUUUCAAGGUCCUUAACACUGAUAUGAUUAUGAUGUCUCACCUCUAUCCUCCAUAAAUAUAAAACAGGAUCACAAGCAUAGGCAACAAAAACAACACUAGACAAAUGGGACUAUGUUGAACUAAAUAGCUUCUGCACAGCAUCUACACACAAUCAACAGUGUGAAGAGACAGCCUGGUGAAUUGGAGAAAAUAUUUGCAAACUAUUAAUGUGACAAAGGACUAAUAUCCAGAAUGUACAAGGAACUCAAACAACCCAACAGUUGAAAAAAAACCCAUAUAAUCCCAUUAAAAAGUGAGCAAAGGACAUGAAUAGACAUUUCUCAAAAGAAGACAUACAAAUGGCCAACAGGUACAUGAAAAAAUGCUCAACAUCACUAAUCAUCAGGGAAAUGCAAAUCGAAAUCCACAAUGAGACAUUUUCUUACCCCUGUUAGAAUGGCUACUAUUAAAAAGACAAAAAAAAAAUAGUAACAGAUGCUGGCAAGGAUCUGUUGGUGAGAAUCUAAAUUAGUACAGCCAUUAUGGAAAACAGUACGGAGAUUUCUCAAAAAACUAAAAAUAGAACUACCAUAUGACCCAGCAAUCCCACUAUGGGGUAUUUUUCUAAAGGAAAGGAGUUCAGUACAUCACAGCAUACCUGUGCUCUCAGUUUACGACAGCACUAUUCACAAUAGCAAAGAUAGGGGAUCAACCUAAGUGUCCAUCAAUGGACAAAUGGAUUAAAAAUGUGAUAUAAAUACACAAAUAGAAUACUAUUUGGCCAUAAAAAAGGAAUAAAAUCUUGUCAUUUGUAGCAACAUGAAUGGAACUGGAGGUCAUUAUGUUAAGUGAAAUAAGGCUGUCAGAGAAAGACAAACAUUGCAAGUUCUCACUCAUAUAUGGAAGCUAAAAAAAGUUGAUCUUAUGGAGGUAGAGAGGAGAAUGAUAGAUACCAGAUGCUGCGAAGGUGUGCUGGUGGGGAAGGGGAUUAAGAGAGUGCUUAGUUGGUGGGUACAUACAGUUAGAUAGGAGGAAUAAGUUCUAAUGUUCUAUACCACAGUGGGGUGCUAUAGUCAGUAACAACGUAUUGUCUAGUUCAAAAUAGCUAGAAGAGAGAACUUGACAUGUUCCCAACAUAUAAAAAUGAUAAAUACUUGAGGUGAUGUCUACCCUAAAUACCUUGACUUGAUCAUUCCACAUUCCAUGCAUGUAACAAAAUAUCACAUGUACUCCAUAAAUAUGUACAAAUAUGUGUAUCAAUUGAAAAAAGGAAAAAAAAUAACAUAAAUGUAAGGAAGUCCAACUGUGUUCUGAUUUUGCCCAUAAUGUUUUCUUGAUACGUUUUUAAAACAUCAAAUAAUAAAUUUAUAAACAAAAUAUUUUGUUAAAUGAGCACUGUCCACUAUAACCCUCCACUUGGUCCAGUCUGAUUUCUAUCCCAAGCUCAAGAUUUUGUGAGCUCUUGGGCUUUCUUCACGCCUAGAAUCUCCCUCUCUCUCUCUCUCUGUCUCUCUCUUUUUCUACUCUGGAAAUACAGCUCCUAACUUUUACUUAAGGCCUUGGUCAAUUUUCAGACCAGCAUCUACCACCAAGACCCUUCCCCAACAAGGAUGCCUCCAUUGAUUACUCCUACAGGGAAAGCUCUGUGAUCUCCUGGAGAAACUGGUAUCCACAUCUCUUAAUAACAUGCCACUGGCUGGGCGCGGUGGCUCAUGCCUGUAAUCCCAGCACUUUGGGAGGCCGAGGCAGGCAGAUCACCAGGUCAGGAGUUCGAGACCAGCCUGACCAAGAUGGUGAAACCCCGUCUCUAAUAAAAAAAUACAAAAAUUAGCUGGGCAUGGUGGUGGGCGCCUGUAAUCCCAGCUACUCAGGAGGCUGAGGCAGGAGAAUCACUUGAACCUGGGAGGUGGAGGUUGCAGUGAACCGAGAUCAUGCCAUUGCACUCCAGCCUGAGUGACAGUGUGAGAUUCCACCUCAUAAAAAAAAAUAAUAACAUACCACUUUGUGACAUACCUCACGCUGUUACUUCAUGCUUGAAUUUCAUUUUUUAAGUGUUUCUGUGUUGUUUUUCCAAUGAGCAUGUGGGUUUUUGAAGGCAGGACUUAGGUCUUACAUUUCUGUGUCUCUCCUCUUGAUGCUGCCAGAUACAUAGACAACACUCGCAUUCCUACAAUGCCUUAAGUACUUAAGUUAGUACUUCCCAAUUUGAGGAACAAAGCAAUUCAUGUUAGAAGAAAAAAAUUAUCUGAAUCUUUGAGAUUACACCCCAGUUUUGAAAUAUUGCACCAAAAGUUGGUGAUUACUUGGGUGCCAGUGGAAUGGCAAAUUAAAAUGCAUGAUCAAGCACUGAUUAACAUUAAAGUGAAAAUACAAAAAUUAAAUGUCUCAAAAACUCUUAGACUCUCAACAAUAUAUUCUCAACCCUUUCUUCCAUCCUAUACCGGCUCCCCACCACUCCCUUCCACUGUAAUCCAACUUUGAGAGAUACUGAGCUAAGUCUUGAGAGCUGUUAUUAAAAUAUCAAAAUAACUCACCUGUGAAUGCCUUAGCUCCAGUAAUCUCAUUAGAUCAGUCAGCCCUCCCUUAGCAGUGCACCAGGAGAGGAGACACAGGCCAGUUGCAUUUUUAUGGCAAUGAGAGGCAGGUUGGAAAAGUCUAGAGCUUUAGAUCCUGAUUGCUUCUAGUACAGCUUCUGCAGGUCAAGCUUUUCUGCAUCAGGUCAAGAACCAGCAGGAAAACCAUCAAGUGCAGUGGGAGUUUUGAGAAAGAGGAGGUGGUUACUGAUGCCAGAUGCUGCAGACAAGUAACAUAAACACAAGAAAUUGGACAUAUUCUGCAAUGCACUCCCUGUCAAGAGAGUAGCCUCAGGAAAAUGGGAAGAAGAAAUGGAGCAAGAUAGCAGCAGCAGAUUGGGCAUUAAGUAGGAGGUGAGAAAAUAGAGAUAGUGAGUAGAAGGGAAGGGCAGAAGUUGAAGAGGGUCAGAGAUGAAAGAAAGUCUUUGCUUAUUCAGUUUUUGGGCAGGAAGAUGAACAUAUGUAUUGCUGAAAUGACUGAAGAUUCUAGAGAAGUGGUGGAAGUGAUGGAACAAGGGUCGCCAGGUGAGGCUGAACCAAGGGUGCAGGAGAAGGAAUUAGCCACAGGCAGGCGGAGGGAAAUUCUCUGAGAAGCAGGUAAAAAGGCCUUUGACUGUACCUGGCAGGAACCAAUUUAAAUCUAUUAAAACAAAACAAACAAACAAACAAACAAAAAACAAACAAAAAAAAAAAAACAAGAGCAUGGCUGGGCCCCAGGACCACCUGGACCCAGGACUUUUCUCUUCACAUCUGUUUCACUCCAGUCUCAGCCCCCGCAGGUCCUAGUUUCUUCAGCCUGGUGGAGAAACAAGGCUGCCAUCAAUUCCCAAAUGUUUAUCUUCACAGUGACAGCCAUGGGAGAAAGGCUGCACUAACCUUCUUGGCCUCAAAUCAAAAACUCUAGAGAAAGGCUGUCACUGGGCCAUCUUGAGUAUUUAUUUAUUAGCUUGUUUGCAGAUUUUAACUGAACAUUCAUUACUUUCAAUUUUCCAGCUUUAUUUUUUCAAAUAAAUUUUAUUGUGCAUAUUUGACAUUUACAACAUAAGGUUAUGGGAUGCAUUUGAUAGUUACUAUAGUAAAGAAAAGUAACAUGUCUCUCAUCUUGAGUAUUUUAGGAGUCCAACCAUGGGUCAGUGAAUUCUGGCUAAUUCUGGCUGUGGACAGGAAGUCCUAUGUAAGCACAUGUCAGCAUCCAAGGGUGCCUCACAGAUGGAGUGGAAGGAGAGGCAGUUUUCAUUGAAGAGGGAGGGUCUGGUCAACAGAUAGGUAUCCAUCCACAAAUUUAGUCUGGAGGUGGAGAGUUCAGAAAAUCUGAGAGGUUCGUAUCUUAAGUAUUUUUUUGUUUGUUCAGUUGGUUUUGAUUGUUGUUGCUAUUGGUGAAGUUAGGGUCUUUUCCAAGAAUUAGGGGAUAGAUGACGAUUCGGGCUACAAAAGGUUUGGAACUCUAUCAUGUGAAAUGAGAACACCAACAUAAGGACUGAGCAAUGUUGAGAAGCAGCAGAGGGUAGAAGGCAUAACUGUGUCACAGGAUCAACCCAGACUUAUUCAUGUAAUGAAUGUUACUGAUGGCUAUCUCUAGUAUCAUCCAGUAUCCUGGACAUAGUAGCGUGAAAACACAGUUGGGUUGAUCCAAGGUUGGAGAGUGGAAAUAUAGGUUGUUCUGGGCAUGGCAGCGGGAACAAAGGAGCUGAGGUGGGAGGAAGGGCUGAAGUAGGGGGGAUCUACCUGCAGAAGAAGACUGUGAGAUGACCAGCACAGGGAAGAGGACAGAGAGCUUGGGACACAAUUGGGAAAUGGUGACAAAAGCUGUUGUGUCUCAGUGGUGCCUCUUACGAUGCCCAAGGGAGAUGACCCCUCAGGAAGAAUGAGCACACCCUGGUGUGCUCAGGAAAGUUCCACGAAAUUAUCAAUGGCACCUCUUUCUGUUAUUGAGAGAUCUCCAAUUUGGAUGCUGAAUCAUGUGGUCUGUCCACCCAAUGCCAGGUCUGAAGCGAUCGAGGAAAAUGGCCUUUCGGGAUGUCAACUUUGUGUGCUGCAGCCCCAGACCCAUUGGCUGGAAGGAGUAACCCUGGCUUUCCACCUGCUUGUUCCUACCUCUUGUUUCUACCAAGGGAAACGGAGACUCCUUCAAAGUCUCCAGCACCUGCAGAUUUGGAGUCUGAAGAGAAAGGGUCAGAGACAGAAACAAAGCCACCCUGGCCUGGCCUGCUGGCUGACUGCAGGGAAAGCCCACAUACACUUGAGGCAGAAGGGAAUGGCAAUGGGCAUGAAAAUACUGCCCAUACCCAAACUGUGUUCCCUGAGGCCAUCCGAUACACCCAGGGUGCUUCAGGGCAGUAAGUCCCAGAAACCACAUGCAAUUUCUGACCACACACUUCAGCUUUUCUUGGCAUGAAAAAGGCAAGGGCCAUGCCUGAAUGGUUUUUGUAUCUCCCACAGCGAAGACCAAUGUCUUGCCCACAGUAGAUUCUCAGUACAUACUUACAUGAUCAAUGGGAUGUCCUUUUCAGGGCAGAUUAGAAUGGUCCUGUCUCGGGACAGGUGCCUCAGUUGGUGGCCUUGAACCUGGCUUGUAGACCUAACUGUGCAAGAAUAGACCACAGGAAAUGGAGCAGCUGAGGAUGGGGGAGCAAGUUGGAAGGAGCUGGGGUGGAGUUUUUUCCUGACCCCAGCUGGUGAUCAGCUUAUGCCCUAAAGCAGAAGGAUUAAUAACCAGGGUAAUUUUAUCCCAGUCAGAAUGUAACUACAGAUGUGGGCUUAUUGGGUGAAACAGCUAAUCCCUUCUCCAUUUGGCUCACUUGUGAAAUACGAUGAAAUACGAUGCCUGGGGCUAUCAAAGCACGAUUUCCUCCUGGGCCUGCUGCUGUGUGCAGCCCCACUCUCCUGGGCGAGAGGACAGCUGUCCGUGGACAGUCUUUUGGGCUCCUGCCUAUUGGAUGGACUGACUCUGCCGCUGACUGAGGGUGGAGGGGAAGGGAAGAGGCGUGUGGGUGGGUGUGUGUCUGUGGACUCGGGGAGGGGAGGGUGGAGUUGAAGGAAAAUGUCAGGUGUUGGAGCGGACAGGCGCACGGAGACGCUGGAGGAAUAAAAGACUCCUGGAAAAAACCUAAGAUUCAUUGCAACCCCAAGUCCCGAAGGCUAGAGGGAUGGGGAGGCAACAGGAGGAGGGCGUGAGGCUAAGGGGGCACACCUGGUUGUACACGUGGCCCAGAUCGGAGCCAGCAGGCCUCGGGUGCUGGCCACGGGAAUUUGCAGCAUGACCAUAGUGGGAGGCUCUAAAGCCAGGAGAACUCAAUCAAAGAGCUGCUGCUGAUGGAGCAAAGAUGAAAGGGUUUCCAGGCCAGCCAGUGAAACCCUUGGAGUUUUUCCCCGGGCAACCACCCUGGGGCGAGUAACAGGAGAUACGGUUGGUGCCGAGGUCUGGGAGUCCAGUGCGGCAGCGGGAGGGAGGUAGGCUGGGAGUCCCGUGGGGCUUGAGGAGUGGGCGGGGCCCCGGGCGACGGGGCGUGGCCCCCUGAGCCGUCCGGAGGCCGAGCGCGGAGAACUCGAGAAGGGGCGGGGCCGCUGAGCGGUCCGGAGGCCUAGCGCGGGGAAUCCGGAAGGGGCGUGGCCCCCUGAGCAGUCCGGAGGCCGAGCGCGGGGAGUUGGGAAGGGGCGUGGCCCUGCCCGAGCUGGCGCCAGGGAGGCUCCCACCUGCCAGGGGUUGUACAUGGCCGCCCUCCCUCCUCCCGUGCUUCCCCGGGCGGGUCUCUGCGCGCAGUCUCCUGCCGGGCGUGGCCAGCCUUGCAGCUCAUCCCCCGGGGUUGGCCGGGUGGUCUCCCCCCGCACGUCCCCGACUCCCAGACGCCUUUCCGCGGGGUGCGCCCGGGGCGCUGGAAGCCUGGAUCACUUACGCCGAACGGCCCGGGCUCCCCGUGCCCCACCUCUUCUUCGCCCCUCGCGUCUUUUCCGUCCCAGGCUGAUGGAGCAGGCGAGGUUAAAGCUUCGUUCCAGACACUUUAAGAAAUGUUCCGGGGUUCUUGGAAGUUGUUUAGGAAAAGCAGAGUGCCUGGCAUCCUCAUCCAACGCUCCCGAACUAGAGACGGCAUCUGGCUUGAGGGGUCGUGGUGGGCGGGCGGAAAGGCAAGAAUGACCAGGGGCUUUAAAUAAAAUCUUUCCCAUUUUUCCCUUUUCCUCUGA